AAUAAAUAAAGGGGACGCCUUUAUUUACAUUCGAUAGUGAAGUGUUGACAUAUGUGUAUUUACAAACAUUGGUACUUUGUGAUGUCCUUGACAUUGAUGCCAAUGUUACAUUUUUAUCUUUAUAGUUAGGUACAGCGGUCAUUUUAAUUGAUUAUCGUACAAGGAUCUACCUCAUUCUUGACCUCGACUUACAAAUUAGUUACAUUGUAAUAUGCAUAAGACUACGACACUAUUUUCUUGCAACUUGUUUUAUAAUUAUAGAUUUUGAAUAUCUGAAAAAAAUACAUUAUUGAAAUUCCUAGCAAUACAAACGCCGUAAGUGGCAUCAUUGCCUGGUAUUAAACGGUUCUAAAGGGGACGCCAUUAUUACAGUCUAUUGUUGUGAAAUAGAUAUUAGCCGAGUUCAGUGUUUUGUGUCUUUUUAAACUGUUUUUUUAUCUAAUUUCAAUAAAAAUGCCAAAGCGGCGUAUAAUAUGCCGACAAUUACAGGAAAAGAGCCAAAUAUGUGCUACUUCUUUUCACAAAAUACCAUAAGAUCCUGCGAUACGAGCAGUGUGGCUAGAAAAUUUCGCCAUAUCUGAAUAUGAUUUUUCAAAGGAUAAUUAUGUCUGUCGAAGCAUUUCCCACACAUGGAGCUGUGCCUAUUAAUACAACAUUUGGAAGGUAAUACGUUUUAGCACAGUGUUGAUGAAAUGGUUGUGCCGUCUCAAAGGUUCCCUCUUCGAGAAAUUGCCAGUGAAGGAAAUUUUAUAGAUGUUGCUAUAAAACAUCUUCAAUCACAUGUUGUCCCUGUUCCAUAAGAGACGAGCUGUCAAUGUUAUGAGCUCAAAAUUCAGCUUAUUUUUGUUGCGUACAUUUAAAACAUGCUUAUUUUCCCACACGAUUAAAUGUUGUUCAAUGUAAAUUCAUUUUUCCGUUACUUUUAUUACAAAUAUGUUUUGUUUUCUUUGCAUUGUUUAUAUUCCAGCAGAUUUUAAUUAAAUAUAUUUUUGCUCCUUUUCUUGUAGUUUUAUUUAAAUUAUUUAUUUUAAUAAAUGUUCUUCCAGUAAUCGAGAACUACUAUGAAAUAAUAGAAUUAAUAGUAGGCAAUGACAUUGCUAUAGCUAUAGUAUAAUGAUAGUUUCAAUCGAGGAGUUUUCUUUAGUCACUCUUUUGUUCUGGAAAUGUUUUUAAAAUAUUAAUUAUAGAUUUUGAAGAAAC